GAAUUCGCCCUUAGAGUUUGAUCCUGGCUCAGGAUGAACGCUAGCGAUAGGCCUAACACAUGCAAGUCGAGGGGCAUCACAUGAGGUAGCAAUACCGAUGGUGGCGACCGGCGCACGGGUGAGUAACACGUAUGCAACCUGCCUUCAACAAGGGGAUAACUCGUUGAAAGACGGACUAAUACCCUAUAACACAGGGCUCCCGCAUGGGAAUAUUUGUUAAAGAUUUAUCGGUUGAAGAUGGGCAUGCGUUCCAUUAGUUAGUUGGGGGGGUAACGGCCCACCAAGGCAACGAUGGAUAGGGGAACUGAGAGGUUUAUCCCCCACACUGGUACUGAGACACGGACCAGACUCCUACGGGAGGCAGCAGUGAGGAAUAUUGGGCAAUGGGCGAAAGCCUGACCCAGCGACGCCGCGUGAAGGACGAAGGCCUUCGGGUUGUAAACUUCUUUGGGGAGGGACGAAAGUGACGGUACCUCCAGAACAAGCCACGGCUAACUACGUGCCAGCAGCCGCGGUAAUACGUAGGUGGCAAGCGUUAUCCGGAUUUACUGGGUGUAAAGGGCGCGCAGGCGGCCCCAAAAGUCAGAUGUGAAAGAUCAAGGCUUAACUUUGACAUGUCAUCUGAAACUUUGGGACUUGAGUAUCAGAGGGGAAAGCGGAAUUCCUGGUGGAGCGGUAAAAUGCGCAGAGAUCAGGAGGAACACCGGUGGCGAAGGCGGCUUUCUGGCUGACAACUGACGCUGAGGCGCGAAAGCGUGGGGAGCAAACAGAAGUAGAUACCCUGGUAGUCCACGCCGUAAACGAUGAUUACUGGGUGUAGGGGGUAUCGACUCCCUCUGUGCUGAAGCUAACGCGAUAAGUAAUCCACCUGGGGAGUACGGCCGCAAGGCUAAAACUCAAAGGAAUUGACGGGGGCCCGCACAAGCAGUGGAGUAUGUGGUUUAAUUCGAGGCAACGCGAAGAACCUUACCAGGGUUUGACAUCCCGCGCUCGGGGUAGAGAUACCCUUUUCCCUUCGGGGACGCGGAGACAGGUGGUGCAUGGUUGUCGUCAGCUCGUGUCGUGAGAUGUUCGGUUAAGUCCGGCAACGAGCGCAACCCUCGUUGUCAGUUGCCAUCAUUUGGUUGGGCACUCUGGCGAGACUGCCGUUGACAAAACGGAGGAAGGUGGGGAGGACGUCAAGUCAUCAUGCCCCUUAUGUCUUGGGGUACACACGUACUACAAUGGGCGUUACAACGGGCAGCGAAACCGCGAGGUGGAGCGAAUCCCCAAAGGCGCCCUCAGUUCGGAUUGCAGGCUGAAACUCGCCUGCAUGAAGCCGGAAUUGCUAGUAAUGGCAGGUCAGCAUACUGC
rnacentral:rRNA from 1 species